rnacentral:rRNA from 1 species
CCUACGGGUGGCAGCAGUGAGGAAUAUUGGUCAAUGGACGCAAGUCUGAACCAGCCAUGCCGCGUGCAGGAAGACGGCUCUAUGAGUUGUAAACUGCUUUUGUACGAGGGUAAACGAAGAUACGAGUAUCUGUUUGAAAGUAUUGUACGAAUAAGGAUCGGCUAACUCCGUGCCAGCAGCCGCGGUAAUACGGAGGAUUCAAGCGUUAUCCGGAUUUAUUGGGUUUAAGGGGUGCGUAGGCGGUCUGAUAAGUUAGGGGUGAAAUCCCGAGGCUCAACUUCGGAAUUGCCUCUGAUACUGUUCGGCUAGAGAGUAGUUGCGGUAGGCGGAAUGUAUGGUGUAGCGGUGAAAUGCUUAGAGAUCAUACAGAACACCGAUUGCGAAGGCAGCUUACCAAGCUACUUCUGACGUUGAGGCACGAAAGCGUGGGGAGCAAACAGGAUUAGAUACCCGAGUAGUC